rnacentral:snoRNA from 1 species
GGGCAAUAUGAUGAGAAUAUGUAAAUUACUCACGACGGUCGUCUGAGGCACUUAUGUGUCUACGCUGAUGCAAAAAUCUCUCUGAUGCCU